GCUGAUAGGAAAUGGGAUUGGAACCUCCGGGAAUUUUGAGCUUCCUGAUUUCCCUUGGCUGAGUCUAGAAUGCUUUGCACAGAUUUUAGUUUCACACAUAAUCUUUAUUUCCUCGUUUAAAAAUAAGGAGUGAUAUUUAUAGUAACAGUAAAAACCAAGUGACAUUUUCAUCUAGGCCAGCAAGUUGUAGUGUUUAGACAACUCUGGUUGAAAUGUUGUUUCUGCCACUUAUGUAUAUGGGCUUGGGCAUGUUCCCUCCUCUGUAAGGUGGGGAUAACAAUGUCGUCUCAAUGAUGCCAUACUCUCAGAGGUAAGGACUUAGCGUAAAAGGUUUUAAUCUGGAGUCUGUGAUUGUGCUUCAGGCAUCUUUUGCUCCUGUAAUUCUAUGUAAAAUUUUGUGUAUGUUUGAAUUUUUCUAAGGGAGAGAUUUCAGAGCUUCCACAAGAAUCCCAGAGGAGUCCUUGACCACUAAAUACUGAGAACCACUAGCCUUACACAGUACCUGGCAGAUGGCAAGUAUCCAUUCAAUGUUAAUUCUUUCUCUCUCUGCCAAGGAUACAUUUUAUAAUCAGCAGCUUAUUGAUGCUGACAUAGUUAUUUUUGAUAACAAAGGAAUUACUUAAAUUCGGAAUAGAAAUAAGAACUCUGCUGCUGUCUUUGCUCCGUUACCUGCCCAUGUGCUCCUCUUGAGCUGUGUUAGCUCCCUAGGUGCUGCUCAAACUGUCCCUUUUCUCCUCAUCCCCUGAGGACCAACUUGUAUUAUUUACUAUAGAAGAAGGAGCCAGUUCUGUUCUUUUAGAGUGAAAUGUGGAGUGACUCUUAGAGAUAGUACACGGGAAACAAGAGUAAUGCAAAAGAAAAAGGGUUGGAGGGGCAGGAGUUAUUCUGGAAAACAGGAAGAGGAUCAAAAUGCCUGGUACAGUGCUGAGCACAUAAUCAUUAAUAAUGAAUCACAGAAAGGAAUGAAGAAGCAGAUGUGCAUUAAACAGUGGGAAGUGGGACACUUCCCUGGCAGUCCAGUGGUUAAGACUCUGCCAUUCCAACGCAGGGGGCGUGGGUUUGAUCCCUCGUUGAGCAACUAAGAUCGCACGUGCCGCGCGGUGUGGCAAAAAAACAAAAACAAACAAAAAAAAAACAGUGGGAAGGGGUGAUGGGAAAAGAGAGAACUGGGAAGAAAGAAUCUUCCUUAGUUUCCCCCCUUCCAGGGCUUUUGUGCCCUGUGGCGGGCUGCCCACUUUUGCUGCCACUUACAUUCCUGAAUUAGAAGCACACUGCAUGGGGCGGGUAGGAAUGGUGAAGAAGCCUGAGCUCCAGGCUAGAGGGUCAUGAUGGGACCAUCAAGCUUGUUAAGAUGCUUCUUUUAAGUCCCAGCCUCUUAAUUUCCCCAUAAAAAGCAAAAACAGAAAGCAAAAAUUAGGGUUGAACAAUGGCCAAGUUGUUCAUUAAUAUCUUAUCCUUUAUCUGCAGCAUCCAAUGCCCAGAUCCCCAGAGACUUCGACCUUGGAACCAGCAUGGAGAACCUAUUCCUCAACUCCAUCAACUUCUGUGGCCACAUCUUCUCUUUUCUUUUAGUCCUGAGACUGCCCUGGAGAGGAGAGGGGAGGACAGAGGAAAAGCGGUGACAGGUUUAUCCUUUGGCUUCUCUGGGAUUGGCUCCUGCCAUUCAUGGCUGGCUUUGGGAAUCCUCAGUGUGAUCCAGCUCACAGGAUGGGCAAACUGAGGCAUAGAGAGAUUGGGUCAUCCAAGCCACAGAACCAGGAGGUGGCACCAGCGUUCAGACUUACACAGUGGCUUUUGGCUACAUGUAACAGAAAACUCAUCCAGGAUCAGCUUAAACAAUGAGGGCUUAUAGUUCGCCCACUAUGGAAAACAGUAUGGAGUUUCCUCAAAAAAAAAAUAAAAUAGAACUACUGCAUGAUUCUGCAAUUCCAUAUUUGGAUAUUUAUCUGAAGAAAACAAAAACACUAACUCGAAAAGAUAAAUGCACCCCCAUGUUCCUUGCAGCAUUAUUUAAAAUAGCCAAGAUAUGGAAACAACCUGUGUCCAUCAAAGGAUGAAUGGACAAAGAAGAUGUGGUAUGUAUAUACAAUGGAAUGUUAUUCAGCUAUAAAAUAGAAUGAAAACUUGCCAUUUGUGACCACAUGCAUGGACUUUGAGGGCAUUAUGCUAAGUGAAAUAAGACAGAGAAACACAAAUACCGCAUGAUCUCUUAUAUGUGGAAUCUAAAAACACCCCAAGACCUCAAUCUCAUAGAUACAGAGAACAGAUUGGUGGUUGCCAGA